rnacentral:sRNA from 1 species
AUGACUUGUACUUGAGGGCAA